UACAGAGGUCUCAAGCGUUGUUCGGAUUCAUUGGGCGUAAAGGGUGCGUAGGCGGCGCGGUAAGUCGGGUGUGAAAUCUCGGGGCUUAACUCCGAAACUGCAUUCGAUACUGCCGUGCUUGAGGACUGGAGAGGAGACUGGAAUUUACGGUGUAGCGGUGAAAUGCGUAGAUAUCGUAAGGAAGACCAGUGGCGAAGGCGGAUCUCUGGGCCUGUCCUGACGCUCAGGCGCGAAAGCUAGGGGAGCAAACAGG
rnacentral:rRNA from 1 species